rnacentral:lncRNA from 1 species
GGGUAGAAAAGGUCUAAUGUUAUUGUCCCCCAGCACCAGAUGAUUUAAGCUAGAUCCAUUGCUUCACUGCUGGUUCCUCAUGGCAAGAACCUUGGCCAAAGCCGGCCAGGCCAUGAUGUCGGCCACCCAAGCGCUCACCUUGGGGCGGGCGUCGAACAGCUUCUUCACAGGUGUCCCCAUCAGGCUGGUCAGGGCCGGGAGGUGGUGGAGGUCGGCCAGGGUGAAGCAGUCGCAGCCUAGGUACUUGGACUGGCUCAGGCGGACCUCGUAGAUGUCGAGGACCUUGGCGAGCUUGGCCUCGUUCUCCUCGACUACUGCAGCAUCCGUGGCCAUGCCAAUUUUCGACUUGUACACGAGCUCCCGAUGCAGCUUCGACGCCGCCGGGUCAAACUGGUGGGCCUCGACUUCCAUCCACACGCUCACGGUUGCCAUGGGUUCGCCCUCGCAAACGAGGGGAGUGCCCUUGUCCUCGUAUACGUGAGCAAUGUAUUGAGUAAUUGCCCUCGAUUCUGCCACCACAAAGAGCAUAAUCAAGACAAACUAUAUUUCGCCUAGUUGUUUAUUGUUCUGUUGACUGAGUGAACAGUCAAAGAUUGACUAAACACUUGAUCUUUCAUCAUGAUUGCACGAUCUAUCGGCAAUCGAAUCAGCGCCCUUUGACUAAAUACUUUAAUCUUUAAUGAUGGUCACACAAUAUAAUACAUCAGUAAUAGAAAGACUUACCGAAUAGCUUCAAAUCUCCGUCCUCGAAGACCGGGACUUGACCGAAAGGCUGCACAGAGAGAUCGAGAAACGUUAGAUCCAAGAGACGACGGAGGAUUUCUUGAAAGACCACGUCGAGACCCCAGGACCAGAAAAUAGUUAGGAAUACUGUGGCACGGGCGGUGGGCGGGGACGGACACUUACGUUGAGGGCGAGGAAAUGCUCCUUCUUGUGCUCGCCGGCUCGCAAGUUGACGAAGACGAACUCGAACUCGAGGUCCUUCUCGUGGAGGGCAAUGAGGAGCCGCAUCGUCGGGGCGGAGAAGACGCUUCCGUGGACCUUCGUAGCCAUGUUCCUGUCCGUCGGCGAGAUUCUUAUCUCCCAUUCUUGGAAAGGAGAUACUAUUGUUGUAUUAUUCUUAUUUCCUUUUUCUGCUAAAUUCCACUAGAGGUGAGCAUUGGAUCGACCCUGGAUCGGCCCAACCCUAUUGGUCCUAAUCCGGUUCCUAGGGAGACUGGGUUAGUUUUUAGUCCUAGAAUUUCUAGACCAGUACUGUGCGGGUCAGUUCUCGAUCAGUCCAACCCGGAUCAACCCUGACUCUCUAUAUAUAUAUAUAAUAUUAUUUAUAAUUUUUUUAUAUAGAGAAAACCCUAAAAUAAAUAGUGUCAACAGCAUUAAAUGGCUAUUUAGUAAUGAGUUCAAGUAAUUUUACAUUAUUCUUUAAUAACUUGAAAAUCAUAAUUUAUGAAGGAGGAAAAUGUUUUUGUGAGAAGUCCUCACGGUGUCCAAAAAAGUAUAAACAGCUCCUUAUGGCAUCCCCUAUAGUAUUUGUUCUCUUCUGUCUUAUUUGUUAUCUUAAUCUUCAAUUUGUCAAAAUCGAAAUAAACAACUUCUCCACUCGCCACUCGACACUCACCUUGCUCGCUUUAGGUCAUUCGUGCCACUCGCCGCUUGAUUCUCACUUGGCUUGCUACUCCCCGCUCAACAUUCGAUGCUCAUUCUUUCGACGCUCACCCCACUUAACCCUUAAUGCUUGCCUUUCUUAACUGACCUUACUUAUCAUCGAACUCAUUGGGUUAGUACGGUCAUUGGUUGCCAUUUCAAAGAGUACAAAAAAUAAAAUAAAAAUUAUUAGUUGGUUCUAGGUUGACCUGGAAACCGGACUAAACCCAUUGAGUCAAUCCGGUCUUUAAUGGCUUUUUUAAGAAGUACAAAAAAUGAAAUAAAAAAUUAUCGGUUGGUCUCGGGUUGACCCUGGAAUCAGACCAAACCCAUUGGGUCGGUCCGGUCCUCGGUUCCAAGCUCAAUUAGGUCGGUCAUCGGUCCUAAAAAUUGAGGACUAGCACUGUGCAGGUUGGUCCUAGGGUUAGGGGGUGGAUCGGUCCAACCCGAACCAUGCUCACUCCGAAAUUCCACACCAUCUAUCAUGGCACUACUUUUUUCGUGGUCUGAAAGCUUCUCAGAAAAUGAAAUACAUCGGUGGCAGUUGGGAUUGGACCGCCUAAACUUGAAACUGUGUGGAUUCUACCAGCCGAUUUGGUCCAAUACUAAAGCAAUGAGAAAAAAAAAACAAUCAGUUCCAUUAGACCGGAUCAGAAUUGAACCGAAUCGGUGAUGUGGUCCGAUUUCCGAUUCUAAGACCAAUCGAUCCAAUCCUUAGUUCUUAUUUUUGGGAACAUGACUGUCUCUUGGUCCGAUUUCCAAUUUCACCUUGGAACUGGAUCGGAUUGAGAACCGAUCACCCUUACUUGAAAGGAGACAACAAAUCCCUAUGCAACAGGUAGGCAUAGCAAUAAGUUACUCAUGCGAAACGUGCCUCUACUCAGAAGGAUAAUUUUUUGAAAAGCAAAAAGGCAAUUCUCUCUUUAGAAAGACUUUGAGAAAACAUUAAUUAUGUUUCAAAAAUGAGAAAGAAUGGAAAGAUUUUUCGGGUGGGUCGAAAAUAUAGAAAACUUCUAAUUUUACUUAAGGCAUAAAAAGAGUGUAAAAUUUUUUCCCCUUUUUUUGGAAUUUUCUUCUCUCUUCCAUUGACCAUGAUUGCAAACAUAAGGAAAGGGCUAAAAGUUGAAUUUGAUUUCUUUUUUGUCGAAGAAAAUUUUAUUGAAAUUACGAACAUGGUCUAAAGAGCUCGGAGCAAGGCCAAUCUAAACAAAGGAGGGCCCAAAGGCUUUAAGGAGGAAAAGAAAGCCGGUUUUGUGGAAGUGAGCCAAUCCGUCAUGUCUUCGCAGCUCAGUCGGUUACCGCAUUAGAAGCCCGCGAACAAUGGACUAUGCAAAUGGAUGGAUGGGCCUUGAGUAGCUGUAAAAAAUUCACGAUAAGAAGUCGCUCCUCCCGGUUGAAAUUAUCUGUAAACCCGCUUAUCAAAGCUUCCACGAGAUCGGCAUGGUUGAGCUCAAUUGCAUGGUUUGCGGGACCAUCUUCACUCAAAACUACAAGCUGGAUUGCUUCAAGGACGGCUAGGGCUUCCACCUAAGAAGGUGAUGAUAUCUUCACCAAUUUGGGGAAAGCCGUAAUAAUAAUACAAGCACGAUCUCUGUAGAUACCAGCUAUGACGCCAUCCACCAAUCCAUUGACAAGGGAGCCAUCAACAUUGGAUUUUAGGAUUUUCUCCUCCAAUGAGAGCCUAGGUAUACAACUUAUAAAGGUGGGAUCUUUUAUUGUAUUUGAUGUAUGAAAGAUCCAUUUUAAGUAAUUUGGUCGCUAGAAAUAUGUUGAUUGCAUGGCAUGUCGUGCAUUCGGAAAUUUGCCCUGAAAUACAUUAUAAAAAGAAGACAUUAAUGAACUUCUAUGAAAUGGCUUCAUGGGAUUCAGGCAAUUGUCUUGAUCAUGGGAUAUCAUUGAGACAUAGGAAUCCGUAUUAUUAAAAGAUUUCCUACAAUUAUUUCUAGUAUGGAAUGAAUCAAUCAUCCACUUUGGUAUCUUAGGGUCCGUUUGUUUCGCGGAAAACAAUUUCCGGGAAAAUAUUUUCCAAAAUUACCGAUGUACCGAUGGCGGAAAAUAGGUAGUCAAAGAAAAUGUACCGAUGGAGAUCCUAAUAUUGUGAAAAAUGAUUUCUUCUUUUGAAAAGAGGAAAACAUUUUCCAUAACUUCUUCCACCUUGUUUCUUUUCACCAACACAUUUAUGCUUUCUUUUUCUUUCUUGUUUUUUUUAAUCGAGUUUUUAAUUUUUUUUCCUUUUCUUUUUUUCUUUUCUUCCUUGGUGGCCGUUUCAUCUUCUUCCUUGGUGGUCGGUUGCCAGCCACGGCGGCGGCCGGCAAUCGGCUGCAAGCCAGCUUGAGCCUUGCCCCAGGCUAGCAAGGCUUCGCCUAGCCCAAUCUGGCGAAGGGAGCUCGCCCAAUCCUUGCGAGCUUGGGCCUCGCCAAAUCGGGCGAGGCAGAGCCUUGCCGACUUAGGGUAGAGCUCGAACCUCGCCAGAUCCAGCGAGCUAGGUGAGGCUCGGGCCUCGCCCGAGCUCGCCAGAGGUUUGCCAGGCUCUAGUGAGCCGUGAGCUUGCCGAAUCUGGCAACGAAGCUUGGGCUCAUGAUCCAUAGGAACCCGAGCUCCACUGCCAGAUCGACAAGCUCGAGCGAGAUUGGCCGAGCCUCAAGUUCGUCGGAUCUGGCGACUAGGUGUUGGUCGGCCGCCAGGUAGCCGACCAUCAUCAGGCAUGCGGCAGUGGAGGAAGGUGGAGCCGGGAGGAAGAAAGAGGAGGAAGAAGGAAGGAAAAAAGAAAAAGAAAGAAAUAAUAAAAAUUUCGAUUUUUUAAAAAUAGAAAUAAUUAAAAUUUUAUUUUAAAAAAAUAUAAAAAAAUAAAACUAAUUUUUUAGUCAAUUAAAAAUAUUAAAAUUCAAUUUUUGAUAAUCUUUCCCAAACAAUUAAAUUAGCUAACGAAUGGUGGAAAAUAUUUUCCACUUGAAGUUUUGGUUUCGGCCAAACACCGGAAAAUAGUCAUUUUCCUGGAAAAUGACUUUUAGGAAAAUGUUUUCCGGAAACAUAUUUUCCAUGAAACGAACGGACUCUUAUUGAACAAAAAUGGUGAUAUUGUUCCUUGAUUGAUCAAUAAUUACGAUUUUUGGGAAGUAUCAUGAUCAUAAAAAAAUAAUGGCUUCCAUUUUUACAAAUGAACAAUUUGAAGACCUAUUGAUUCUAACAACUAAUUGCAGAGUUGAUCAUUCGGAUCUUUCAAUUCAUAGACAUGGAUCUCGAACCUAUGAAUGGGGGUAUUCACGAAACUCACAAAGAAAAAAAGGAAGUGAGUUAGACAAAAAAAAAAGAAGAGGAAACUUGGACAAAAUGAAACGAAGUGACUUAGACAAAUCUUUUUUGUUGAGAACCUUAGACCAAUCAAUCAAAUAUUGAUUAAUACUUAAUUGAUCAAAGACUACUUGAAAACGGCUCUUUAGCUUAGAAACAAAAUGUUCCAAAUGUUCUUGGAAAUUCUUGCUCCCAUUGGACCAUUUGUAUUUAUAUGUAUUAGGAUAUCGAUUCACAGAUCUCUCAGUUCAAGAAAUAAAAAUAAGAGGAUUGAACAAUUUCUUCUAACUAUUUUUCAAAUUCGAUAAAUGUAGGUUGAUCUUAUAUUUCAUUAUCGUUUUAUGAUUCAAAGUAUCAUUUCAUAUUUGAUCCCUUUGAAUUCCAUAUCCAAAAUUGCAAUCGGAUUCAUUCAUUAAAAAGAAUCAGUUCCAUACAUUUCUUAUGUACCCAUAGGUGCUAUAUUGGAUUUGAAUUAGAUUUCGGAUCCAUCUAUAUUGAUUAACUGUCUCAUUAUGUUGUUACUAGUAAAUACCAUUAUUUUUUGUUUUGGAUCUUUCAAAUCAUUUUCGCAUGAGAUCCGAACCCAUUUUUUCUAAUCUUUCAAUAAAAAGAUUCAUUUUCUUCAAAAAAGAGAGGAGGUAGAACCAAUAAAGAUUUCUUUUUCAAUUCAUCCCUGGAUUUGAAUACCUCAUUAAAGAAUUAUUUUUGAUCUAAUACGUAAGAAUCCAUAGAUAAGGCAAAUCCUUUAAGAUACAUCAAAUCUAGCUCACUUAUUGAUAGAGUAAAUAGAUCUGCCAUUAUUUGAAAUCUCUCUUCUGAUUCAAAAUCGUGGUGUAAUGUGUAUCAACCUUGUUUCGGUCAUGAAAUAGACGAAAUAAAUCAAAAAAAUGUAUUUUUGUUUAAGAAUGAAAUCUUAUGGAAACUGUGCAUAUCCAGUUCAUCCUUUAGAAUCAUAUCACAUCCCGGAUCUGAUGAAAUAUGAUGAAUUGAGACAAUACUUUGUAAAUACAUAAUUAUCUUAUAUAUAUUAACUAUAUCUUUAUUUUAUGAUCGUUUGGAAAGGACAAAAGAAACAUCUUGUUCUUUCUUCAACAAUUUUUUAUCUCUAGUGGGCCUCUUAGUAGGAUUCCAACCUAGAUGAAGUUUUGACCAUCUGUCAAAGAAAAAAGAAAGAAUGGAUCUUGUAGAAUUCCCAAGAAAUUCUUCGAUUUUUUUCGGAAGCAAAUGAUUCUUCAUCUCUUUCUCACAUUUCGUGAAUAGUUGGGAAUAUCUAGAAAGGCAUUUAGAGAAUCGGUCUGAUUCUAACUCUGUUCGUUUCGUUUGAAGAAAUGAAGGAUCCCAAAGAAUCAAUCUUUCUUUUAGUUGUUGAAUCUCUCUUUGAUUGAUCAAUGUAUGAUAUUCUGAAUCCUUAUUACUAAUGGAAUCGAAAUGAUCUCUGGAUUGAUCAAAAGAUCCUUUUAAUUGGCUAGAAUCCGUUAUUUGAACAAAACUAGAUCUUGUACAAUCAUAUUGAAUAUUUGACGAUACAUUUUGUAACUUGUUAAAAAAUCGGUCCUUGUUUACCAACCACACAUUGUCUAACCAAAUUCAAUUCUCUCUCAAUAUGUUCCUCAAAAAAUCUGAUUCGAGUAUUCUUCCCCUAGCUGACAAAGAGAUCUUGGCGGAAUUGCUACAUAUGAAAUUGAGCACAAUUUUCCAAAAAAAUAGCCCACUUCUUUCUCGAGAAGAGAUGGGAAAUAGGCUUAAUAUCAUUUGAUUGAAUAGUUGACCCAGCUCCUUGUUGUUUGAGGAAACCCUCCACUUCAAUUGGUAUUUUUUUCACGAAAAGCAAACAUGAGAAAACAAAUCUAGUCUUUAACUAAGAUUUCGAAUAGCUAUCACGAAUUCAAAUUAAUUAUGUUUCGUCUCUUACUUGGAGAAAGAUGAUCCAAAAUUCCCAAUCACAGUACUUGCAGAUCGGAUCAUCCAUAUAAUAUACAAAAAGAAACUCCAAAUAUUUAAUAUCUUUUCCUUUGAAUGAUAUCUCAAUUCCAACAAUGGUUUCAUUAGAUAUCUUACAACUAGAAUCAUCUUUUUUCCGCUCCAAUUCCUCCAACACUGCAAACCCAAGUUAAAUCCAGGCAUGAUACAUUUUUUUGUGAUUGGGAGAACUCAAUUACUCUCUUUCGGAUCUAGGAAAAAGCUCUCAGAGAUCUUUUUUUCCUUUUGGAAGAUAAAGGAGCCAAACGAUCAACCUAUUGAUAUUGGAAGAUCCAAAAGAUUCUUCCAAUGUAUCAUUUCUAGGUCUAAUGGAAUUCAUAGGUAUAGGAAAAAGCCCUAUUAAAUAGAGAUUUUUUCUUUCGGCCAUAUUUCAAUUAUUAAUACAGUAUAUAAGGACUACUACUACAAAUAGUACUACACCAUUGAUCGUGAAAUAUCAAGUGCUUGUUGAAUCCUGUGAAUUGCGUGAAAGUAGGAUACUCCAAAUUCGGGGGUCUAGGAGUUUUAUAAAAUGUUCUUGGUGAAAAAAAAUGUGGAUGAAAGAUCCUACGAAAUUGAAUUGGGUGCAUGAAUCUAAGAAAUAGUGAGAAUUAUGGAUCUCUCUCAAUUCGAAAAUCCAGGAUUUGAAUUGACAUCCUUUCAUUGAUUUCUCCUAAAUUGAAUUAAUUUCUCCUAAAGAUUUCAUUUCAAUUGGAAUUUGGUUACUCACCAUGUACGAGGAUCCCUGCUAAGCAUCCAUGGUUGAAUGGUUAAAGCACUCAACUCAUAAUUGGCGAAUUCGUAGGUUAAAUUCCUACUGGAUGCACGCCAAUGGGACACUACAAUAAAUCUAUUGGAAUUGACUCUAUGUCAAUGGAAUCUAAUCAUCCAUACAUAACGAAUUGAUGUGGUAUGUUAAUAUACCUUUAAUGUCAACUUUAAUGAAGAAUCAAGAUCAAGUAGGACAGAAAUAAAGCAUUGGGUCGAACUCUUCUGAAAUGGUAGAAGAAUAGGACCUAUUCUCAGUAGAAGAAUGGGACCUAUACAGGGACAUAUAAAGCAUUACAGACGUAUGAUCAUUACACUUCAACUGGGUUAUUCUAUUCCACCUCUUAAAAAGAAAAGAACUUAAAUCAAAAUGGUUAAUAUUAAUAGCAUAGCAAUAUAUUUAUACAAAACUUCUACCCCCAAGCACCCCAAGCACACGCAAUGGAGCCGUAAACAAUCAAGUGAAAUUCAAUACACAAAAUAAUUUGAUCUAUGGACAGCAUCAUUGUAAUAAAGGUCGUAAUGCCAGAGGAAUCAUUACCACAUGGCAUAGAGCGGGAUUUUCAGAUAGUCUAAUGAGUUGUAGUCGCCGUGGGUAAUUUUACAUUUGAUUUACAAUGCACUACUUAUAAGUAAAAUGAGAAAAAUGGUGCAUUGAAAACUGCAUAAUUUUCUUUAUAUUUUUUUAACAAGUUUUUUUUUUGUAUAUUUUUUUAACAAGUUCAUAAAAGCACUUUUAAACAAAGUCCAAUUUGGAUAGGAGAAUUUUCAUUUGGCCCCACCAUUUUGAUCAUUUGCUUGCAGCCAUGCAAAGAAAGUGACCAGAUUUGGCCCAUAAAUUAUAAACAAGUUGAUAAAGACUUAAGUGGAAAGGACAAAUAGUAACUUCAACUCAAAUAUUUCCCAGCCUGAGAGUUUCUUAGUAGAUCCACUGUUCCAUGUCGUGAGAUCAGCCUUUUGGAUGAGGAAUGAGUAGUGUGCAAAAAUCAAGAAUUCAUUGUGCAAUUGGCACGCGCCUACCCUACCAGAGCAGCCAUGGCCUGGAUCCGGAAGAAACUUGUGGUGGCCAUGAUGGUGAGCUCGACGGAGCUCAAGUGGCCAGCUCAAAGCAGGGACAGUGGGAGGGUGUCUUCUGGUUUCUUAUCAUUUUUAUCGUAUCCUUUUUUUCUUUCUCUAAACUUUUUAUUUUUUUCUUUCUCUAAACUUUUUAUUAUAAAAUCUUUUAAUUCUUUUCCAGACGGGGCGUUAGGUAGAGUCAGCUUUUUUUUUUUUUUUUAGGUAGAGUCAGCUUUUAGUCGGUCAAAUCAUUGAAUUAAUAAAAAUGUUCAUUAUACAAAUUUGAAUAGGAUUCAGUCGUACUAUUCAAAAGUUUUAGGUCAAUUACAUUUGCUUGAUGAAUUUUAGAAUUACUGAUGUAGGUAUCCAUGUGUAAAGGUAAUACUCAUCCAUGGAUAUAGUCCAGUGAACUUCUAUGGUACUUUAACAGAUGAAAGCGGGUGAAGCUUUCGUGACUAGUAGGGAAACUGUAGGCCAUCCUAUGGAGAUGAUGAGAGGAGAGCUUUGUAAUCAGUAAAGAUAAUACCAGCACUUGCAGCAAUCAUUACACUCUAAUGAAACUAGAAAGAUGAGACAUACAAGCCAAUGACUCAUGAAACAUAACUCUGCAUCUGUCCAAUCUUUUUAUUGCUCAUAAUAGAAAAUCACAGAACCGGAAGUUCAGUUCUGUGAAACACCAGCCUGGUCAUCAUCUCCAACUUUGAUGAUUGAAGACAACCCAUAAGAGAAAAUCCCACAUAAAACAUUGACCCAACAAGGACAGAAUCAACAACGAAAUACAGCUAACAACUCAUAUAAAAAGGGGUAGGAAAGGUCUAAUGUUACGGUCCCCCAGCACCAGAUAAUUUAAACUAGACCCCUUUGCAUCACUGCUGGUUCCUCAUGGCAAGAACCUUGGCCAAAGCCGGCCGGGCCAUGAUGUCGGCCACCCAAGCGCUCACCUUGGGGCGGGCGUCGAACAGCUUCUUCACAGGUGAAGCCAUCAGGUUGGUCAGGGCCGGGAGGUGGUGGAGGUCGGCCAGGGUGAAGCAGUCGCAGCCCAAGUACUUGGACUGGCUCAACCGGGCCUCGUAGAUGUCGAGGACCUUGGCGAGCUUGGCCUCGUUCUCCUCGACUACUGCGGCGUCCGUGGCCAUGCCGAACAUCGGCUUAAACAGGAGCUCCCACUGCAGCUUCGACCCCACCGGGUCAAACUGGUGGGCCUCGACCUCCAUCCACACGCCCAAGGUCGCCAUGGGUUUGCCCUCGCACACGAGGGGAGUGCCCUUGUCCUUGUAUACAUUAGCUAUGUAUUGAGUAAUUGCCCUUGAUUCUGCCACCACAAAGAACAAAAUCAAGAUGUAAACCAUGCUUCGCGUAGUUGUUUCUUGUUCAGUUGACGAAUUGAACAGUCAAAGAUUGACUAAACACUUGAUCCUUCAUCAUGGUCGCAUGAUCUAUCAGCAAUCGAAUCAGCACCCUUUGACUAAAUACUUUCAUCUUUCAUGAUGGUCACACAGUAUAAUACACCACGAACAGAAAGACUUACCGAAUAGCUUCAAAUCUCCGUCCUCAAAGGCCGGGACUUGACCGAAAGGCUGCACAGAGAGAUCCAGAAACGUUAGAUCUGAGCGAGACGAAAGAGGGUUUCUUGAAAGAGCACAUUCAGACCCCCCAAGACCGAAAAUCUGCGAGUAUAAAGGUCGAACUGGUGGUGGGCAGGUAAGGAGACUUACGUUGAGGGCGAGGAAGUGCUCCUUCUUGUGCUCGCCGGCCCGCAUGUCGACGGGGACGAACUCGAACUCGAGGCCCUUCUCGUUGAGGGCAAUGAGUACCCGCAUAGCCGCGGUGGAUAAGACGCUUCCGUGGACCUUCAUCACCAUGGUGGCUGGCUCUGCUUUCUUUUCUUUAUCUCUCUCUCUCGAAGGCUAAAUGCAGAACAGAUGUGGCGAAAGAGGGUGGGUUUUGGGCUCUUUUUAUAAGGGUUUCAGGAUCUCGUUCUGGAAUGAUCCAAUUGACUUUUAAAAUUCGAUUUUUCUUUCCCAUUCAACGAGAUAAUUUUGCUUUUUUUAUCUUUGUUGUUUAUACUUAGGAGAUGGAGAUGCAAAAAUGGCUCCUUGUCGGAUGAAGAGAGAGAGAGAGAGAGAGACGGACGCGACGAUUCCUGAGAAGCCAUUUUGAUAUUCAUCUCGCACUUUCUUCUCUUCAUUCGAUGUCUGAACAGAUCAAAAGAAAGGCGCAGACACCUACGUGCGCACGUCAUGCGGCGAGUAGCUCGUGCCAAAAGCGCCUAUCUACCGACCCAAAAAAAAGAAGCGCCUAUCUACCGACAAAAAAGAAAAAAAAAGCGCCUAUCUUGGGAAGGAAGAUACAUUUAGGGGAUAUUUGGUAGCUAUCUAAAUAGUAUCUGAUUCUGAUUUUUUCUUUCUGAAAGUAAUUUUGAAAUGGAAUCUCGUUUGGUAAAAUUUUUGUUCCAGAAAUAAAUUUAUAUUUUUCUUGUUCUCGAAAAUAGAUUUGAAAUAGAAUCAAGAAUAAAAAAAAAAAUUGACUCUUAUUCUAUAAACAAAUCUAAAAAUCAAAAUCAACUUUUCUUCUUCUUCUUUUUUCUUCUUCUUCAUCAACCGACAUCCCGCAAAUACUAUCCGCCGCCGUCCACCAUCGUUCGCUACCGGUCGCCGACAACCGGUCCGGCGAGCACCGAAGGCUCGCCAGGCCAAGACGAGGUCCAGCGAGCUCGCUGAGGCUUAGGCUUGGCCUUACCAGAUUUAGCGAGGUCGAGCCUUGCCCAACUACCGGCGAUGCUCGGCCAACGAGGGCCAACAAAACUUCAAUGAGGUCGCCAGCCACAAGAAGAAGAAGAAGAAGAAGAAGAAGAAGAGAAAAAAUGGGAAAAAAAGUAAAAAUGAAAAAAAAUAAUUGAUUUGGAACAGAAUCAAUAAGCAUGAUACCAAACGCAAUUCUAUUCCAAAAUCAGAAAUUUUAAAUAAUUAUUAAAUGGCUUAAAAUGUUUAGAAAUUGUUCCUAAGAAUAGAAUAAAAAAUAAUCAUUUCUGAUUAGAAUUUGUUCUCGAGAAUAAAAUCAUUACCAAACACACUCCUAAAGGGCGAGGAUGUAACUCCACUCUUCAGAAAAGACUUUGAGAAAACGUGAAUCAUGUUUCAAAAAAUGGAUUACUACAAAUGUAUCAUGCAGUCCCUAAAAUUUAAUUUUGUACAACGUGAUCCGUGAGUUUUUAUUAUAUAAUAUCAUUUCUAAAUUUUUAAUUUAUUUUAUAUAAUCUUUACAUUAUUGAUAAAUAUUUAGUAUAAUCUUUAAAUUAUAUGAAUUUGUUUAAAAAUUUAUUAUCUAAAUUCUAGAUUCGAACAUAUUGAGAAAGUUUGACCAUACGUUGGAUUUUUUAAUAGAAUAUUAGACACGUGUUGGAGUAUCUAAUAUGACUCAAAAACUCUGGAGAAUGUCGACGUUUCCCAUAGCAGAGUUAGCUUUUUUGAUUGGUCAAAUCAAACAAAUUAAUAAAAAAUUUUAUUAUACAUUUUAAAAUAUUAGGGGUCAAUUACACGACAAAAUUUAAAAUUUCCGAUGCAUAUAUCCCUUAGUGUAAAGGCAGUACUCAUCCAUGAAUAAAGUGCAGUGAACUAGGCGAAGCUUUAGGGAAGCCUUAGGCCAUCCCAUGGAGAUGAUGAGAGGAGGGGUUUUCAUCAGUAGAGAUAAUACCAGCACUUGCAGAAAUCAUUACAUUCUAAUGAAACUACAAAGAUGAGGCAUAUAAAACAAUGACCCAUGAAACAUAAUUUUGCAUCUGUCCAAUCUUUUUAUUGCUCAUAAUAGAAAAUCACAGAACUUGCAGUUCGGCGAAACGCCAGCCUGGUCAUCAUCUCCGACUUUGAUGAUUGAAGACGACCCUUCAGAGAAAAUCCCACAUAAAACAUUGACCAAAGGAGGAUAGAAUCGACAGCAAAAUACGAUUACCAACUCAUAUAGAAAGGGGUAGAAAAGGUCUAAUGUUAUCGUCCCCUAGCACCAGAUGAUUUAAGCUAGACCCAUUGCUUCACUGCUGGUUUCUCAUGGUAAGAACCUUGGCCAAAGCCGGCGGGGUCACGAUGUCAGCCACCCAAGCACUCACCUUCGGGCGGGCGUCCAAUAGCUUCUUCACAAGUGUCCCCAUCAGGCUGGUCAAGGCCGAGAGGUGGUGGAGGUCAGCCAGGGUGAAGCAGUCGCAGCUUAAAUACUUGGACUGGCUCAGCCGAGCCUCGUAGAUGUCGAGGACCUUGGCAAGGUUGGCCUCCUUAUCCUAGAUGGGCUAAGUCAAACGGGUUUUUCAUUUGAUGGGUCAAGUUAAGUCUGUUCGCCCACUCAGCCCAUAAAAGGAAAAUACAGUUAUUUUCUAAGUGAAAAUAACUGUAAUAUAUAAAAUAAAAAUUAAAUGUUCAGAGAGAAAACACGUUUCUCCAUUUUCUUCUCUUUGAAACAGUUCACUCUCUCUUGAAGAAGGAGAAUUCUGAGAUUGCAACAAUGUUUUUUUGAACAUGUUUCUGCGUUCGUUUUUUAUAUUCGAUCGUUUGAGUAUCAGUUCGAUUUUCAGAAAUCUAUUUGCCGCAUCCUUGACUACUGCAGCAUCCGUGGCCAUACCAAUUUUCGACUUGUACACGAGCUCCCAAUGCAGCUUCGACGCUGCCGGGUCAAACUGGUGGGCCUCGACUUCCAUCCACGAGAAAAUAUUGGCUUUGCCCUCGCAAACGAGGGAGCGCCCUUGUCCUCGUAUACGUGAGCAAUGUAUUGAGUAAUUGCCCUCGAUUCUGCCACCACGAAGAGCAUAAUCAAGACAUAAACUAUAUUUCGCGUAGUUGUUUCUUGUUCUGUUGACUGAGUGAACAGUCAAAGAUUGACUAAACACUUGAUCUUUCAUCAUGAUUGCACGAUCUAUCGGCAAUCGAAUCAGCGCCCUUUGACUAAAUACUUUCAUCUUUCAUGAUGGUCACACAAUAUAACACAUCAGUAAUAGAAAGACUUACCCAAUAGCUUCAAAUCUCCGUCCUCAAAGGCCGGGACUUGACCGAAAGGCUGCACAGAGAGAUCGAGAAACGUUAGAUCCAAGAGACGAAGGAGGUUUUCUUGAAAGACCACGUCGAGACCCCACGACCAGAAAAUAGUUAGGAAUACUGUGGCACGGGCGGUGGGCGGUGAUGGAGACUUAAGUUGAGGGCGAGGAAAUGCUCCUUCUUGUGCUCGCCGGCUCGCAAGUCGACGAAGACGAACUCGAACUCGAGGUCCUUCUCGUGGAGGGCAAUGAGGACCCGCAUCGUCGGGGCGGAGAAGACGCUUCCGUGGACCUUCAUCACCAUGAUUGCUCGCUCUGCUUUCUUUUCUUUAUCUCUCUCUCAGAACCUGAACGCAGAACAGCUGUGGCGAUCAAUGGUGGGUCUCGGGCUCUUUUUAUAAGGGCUUCAGGAUCUUGUUCUGGAAUGAUGUAAUUGACUUGAACAUUUCGAUUCUGGUAUGCCCUUCAACGAGAUAAUCUUGCCUUGUAUCUUUUAUUGUUUACAGUUAGCAGGUGGAGAUGACAGUAAUGGCUCCUUGUCGGGAUGUGGGGAGAGGGAGAGAGAGACGCAGGCGAUAAGUCCUCCGUAGCCAUGUUCCUGUCCGUCGGCGAGGUUCUUAUCUCCCAUUCUUGGAAAGGAGAUACUAUUGCUGUACCAUUAUUAUUUCCUAUUUCUGCUAAAUUCAACACCAUCUAUCACGGCCCUACUUUUUUCGUCGUCUGAAAGUUUCUCAGAAAAUGAAAUCCAUCGGUGGCAGUUGGGAUUGGACAGCCUGAACCUGAAACUGCGUGGACUCUACCGGCGGAUUUGGUCCAAUUUAUGAGAAUAUCAAUGUGGUUCCGAUUUUGAGGCAGAAUUGAAUUAGACCGACUAAUUAUUUUUUUAUUUAUUCAAAAAAUUAGUGAAAUAUGAACUAAAUACUAAAGCAAUGAGAAAAAAAAAAAACUAUCGAUUCCAUUAGAUCAUACCAGAAUUGGAUCGAAUCGAUGAUGUGGUCCGAUUUCCAAUUGUAGGACUAAUCGAUCCAAUCCUCAGUUCUAAUUUUUGGGAACAUGACCAUCUCCUAGUCAGAUUUCCGAUUUCACCUUGGAAUUGAAUCGGAUCAGAAACUAAUCACCCUUACUCAAAAGGAGACAACAAAUCUCUGUGUAGUAGGUAGCACAUCAAUAAGUCACUUGUGUGAAACGUGCCUCUACUCAGAAGGAGAAUUUUUUGAAAAUCAAAAAGGCAAUCCUCUCUUUAGAAAGACUUUGAGAAAACAUUAAUUAUGUUUAAGAAAUGAGAGAAAAUGGAAUGAAUUUUCAGGUGGGUUGAAAAUAAAGAAAACUUCUAAUUUUACUUAAGGCAUAAAAAGAGUGGAAAGUGUUUCUUGUUUUCCUUUUCUUUUUCUUUUUUUUGUAAUUUUCUUCUCUCUUCCAUUGACCAUGAUUGCAAACAUAAGGAAAGGACUAAAAGUUGAAUUUGUUCUUCUUUUUUUUAUCGAAGAAAAUUUUAUUGAAAUUACGAACAUGGUGUAAAGAGCUCCGAGCAAGGCGAAUCUGAACAAAGGAGGGCCCAAAGGGUUUGAGGAGGAAAAGAAAGCCGGUUUUGUGGAAGUGAGCCAAUCCAUCAUGUCGGUUACUGCAUUAGAAGCCCGCGAAAAAUGGGCUAUGCGAAUGGAUGGAUGGGCCUUGAGUAGCUUUAUAAAAUUCAUGAUAAGAAGUCACUCCUCCCGGUUGAAAUUAUUCGUAAACCCGCUUACCAAAGCUUCCACGAGAUCGGCAUGGUUGAGCUCAACUGCAUAGUUUGCGGAACUAUCUUCACUCAAAACUACAAGCUGGAUUGCUUCAAGGACGGCUAGGGCUUCCGCCUAAGAAGGUGAUGAGAUCUUCACCAAUUUGGGGAAACCCGUAAUAAUAAUACGAGCACGAUCUCUGUAGAUACCAGCUACGGUGCCAUCCACCAAUUCAUCGACAAAGGAGCCAUCAACAUUGGAUUUUAGGAUUUUCUACUCCAAUGGAACCCAAGUCUGCAACUUAUAAACGUGGGAUCUUUUCUUGUAUUUGAUGUAUGAAAGAUCCAUUUUAAGUAAUUUGGUCGCUAGAAAUAUGUUGAUUGCAUGGUAUGUCGUGCGUUCAGAAAUUUGCCCCGAAAUACAUUAUAAAAAGAAAAUAUCAAUGAACUUCUAUGAAAUUGUUUCACGGAUUCAGGCAAUUGUCUUGAUCGUGAAAUAUCAUUGAGAAAAAGGAAUUUGUAUUAUUAAAAGAUUUCCUGCAAUUAUUUCUAGUAUGGAAUGAAUCAAUCAUCCACUUUGGUAUCUUAUUGAACAAAAAUGGUGAUAUUGUUCCUUGAUUGAUCAAUAAUUUCGAUUUUUAGAAAGUAUCAUGAUCAUCCAAAAAUAAUGGCUUCCAUUUUUACAAAUAAACGAUUUGAAGACCUAUUGAUUCUAACAACUGAUUGCAGAGUUGAUCAUUCGGACCUUUCAAUUCAUAGACGUGGAUCUCGAACCUAUGAAUGGGGUUAUUCAUGAAACUCACAAAGAAAAAAGGAAGUGAGUUAGACAAAAGAAGAAGAAGAAGAAGAAAUUUGGACAAAAAAGAUUUCGAAUAGCUAUCAUGAAUUCAAAUUAAUUAUGUUUAGUUUCUUACUCGGAGAAAGACGAUCCAAAAUUCCCAAUCACGGUACUUGCAAAUCGGAUCAUCCAUAUAAUAUACAAAAAGAAACUCCAGAUAUUUGAUAUAUUUUCCUUUGAAUGAGAUCUCAAUUCCAACGAUGGUUUCAUUAGAUAUCUUACAACUAGAAUCCUCUUUUUUCCGAUCAAAUUCCUCCAGCACUGCAAACCCAAGUUAAAUCCAGGCAUGAUACACUUUUUCGUUAUUGGGAGAACUUAAGUACUCUCUUUCGGAUCCAAGAAAAAGCUCUCGAAGAUCUUAAGAUCUUUCCUUUUGGAAGAUAAAGGAGCGAAAUGAUCAACUUAUUGAUAUUGGAAGACCCAAGACCCAAACGAUUCUUCCAAUGUAUCAUUUCUAGGUCCAAUGGAAUUCAUAGGUAUAGGAAAAUGCCCUAUCAAAUAGAGAUUUUUUUUCUUUCGGCCAUAUUUCAAUUAUUAAUAUGAUAUAUAAGGACUACUACUACAAAUAGUACUACACCCUUGAUCGUGAAAUAUCAAUUGCUUGUUGAAUCUUGUGAAUUGCGUGAAAGUAGGAUACUCCAAAUUCGGGGGUCCAGGAGUUUUAUAAAAUGUUCUUGGUGGAAAAAAAUGUGGAUGAAAGAUCCCAUGAAAUUGAAUUGGGUCCAUGAAUCUAAGAAAUAGUGAGAAUUAUGGAUCUCUCAAUUCGAAAAUCCAGGAUUUGAAUUGAUGUCCUUUCAUUGAUUUCUCCUAAAUUGCAUUAAUUUCUCCUAAAGAUUUCAUUUCAAUUGGAAUUUGGUUAUUCACCGUGUAUGAGGAUCCCUGCUAAGCAUCCAUGGUUGAAUGGUUAAAGCGCCCAACUCAUAAUUGGCGAAUUCGUAGGUUCAAUUCCUAUUGGAUGCAUGCCAAUGGGACACUACAAUAAAUCUAUUGGAAUUGACUAUAUAUCAAUGGAAUCUGAUCAUCCAUACAUAACAAAUUGAUGUGGUAUAUUCAUAUCAUAACAUAAGAUAUUGGGGAAGAAAAUUGAUUUAUGGAAGAAAAAUUAUUAGGGAAAAAUCAAUAUACCUUUAAUGCCGAAUCAAGAUCAAGUAGGACAUAAAUAAAGCAUUGGGUCGAACUCUUCUGAAAGGAUAGAAGAAUAGGACCUAUUAUCGUUAGAAGAAUGGGACCUAUUCUUGGGCAUACAAAGCAUUACAGACGUAUGAUCAUUACACUUCAACUAGGUUAUUCUAUUCCCAUCUUAAAAAGAAACGAACUUAAAUCAAAAUGGUUAAUAUUAAUAGCAUAGCAAUAUAUUUAUACAAAACUUCUAUCUUGGGAUAGAAGUUUUGUAUAAAUAUAUCGCUAUGGAGCCGUAGACAUACACGAAAUAAUUUGAUCUAUGGACGGCAUCAUUGUAAUAAAGGUUGUAAUGCUAGAGGAAUCAUUACCGCAUGGCAUAGAGCAGGAUUUUCAAAUACUCCAAUGAGUUGUAGUUGCCAUGGGUAAUUUUAAAUUUGAUUUACAAUGCACUACUUAUAAGUAAAAUGAGAAAAACGGUGCAUUGAAAACUGCAUAAUUCUCUUUAUAUUUUUUUAACAAGUUCAUAAAAGCACUUUUAAACAAAGUCCAAUUUGGAUAGGAGAAUUUUCAUUUGGCCCCACCAUUUUGAUCAUUUGCUUGCAGCCAUGCAAAGAAAGUGACCAGAUUUGGCCCAUAAAUUAUAAACAAGUUAAUAAAGACUUAAGUGGAAAGGACAAAUAGUAACUUCAACCUCAAAUAUUUCCCAGCCUGAGAGUUUCUUAGUAGAUCCACUGUUCCAUGUCGUGAGAUCAGCCUUUUGGAUGAGGAAUGAGUAGUGUGCAAAAAUCAAGAAUUCAUUGUGCAAUUGGCACGCGCCCACCCUACCAGAGCAGCCAUGGCCAGGAUCCGGAAGAAACUUGUUGUGGCCAUGAUGGUGAGCUCGACGGAGCUCAAGUGGCCAGCUCAAAGCAGGGACAGUGGGAGGGUGGCUUCUGGUUUCUUAUCAAUUUUAUUAUAUCCUCUUUCUCUUUCUCUAAACUUUUUAUUAUAAAAUCUUUUAAUUCUUUUCCAGACGUGGCGUUAGGUAGAGUCAGCUUUUAGUUGGUCAAAUCAAAUGAAUUAAUAAAAAUGUUCCUUAUACAAAUUUGAAUAGGAUUCAGUUCGUACUAUUUAAAAGUUUUAGGUCAAUUACAUUUGCUUGAUGAAUUUUAGAAUUUCUGAUGUAGGUACCCCUUUGUGUAAAGGUAAUACUCAUCCAUGAAUAUAGUCCAGUGAACUUCUAUGGUACUUUAACAGUUGAAAGCGGGUGAAGCUUUCGUGACUAGUAGGGAAACCGUAGGCCAUCCUAUGGAGAUGAUGAGAGGAGAGGUUUUCAUCAGUAGAGAUAAUACCACUACCAGCACUUGCAGCAAUCAUUACACUCUAACGAAACUAGAAAGAUGAGACAUACAAGCCAAUGACUCAUGAAACAUAACUCUGCAUCUGUCCAAUCUUUUUAUUGCUCAAAAUAGAAAAUCACAGAACCAGAAGUCCAGUUCUGCGAAACACCAGCCUGGUCAUCAUCUCCAACUUUGAUGAUUGAAGACGACCCUUCAGAGAAAAUCCCACAUAAAACAUUGACCCAAGAAGGACAGAAUCAACAACCAAAUACAGCUAACAACUCAUAUAAAAAGGGGUAGAACAGGUCUAAUGUUACGGUCCCCGGCACCCGAUAAUUUAAACUAGACCCCUUUGCAUCACUGCUGGUUCCUCAUGGCAAGAACCUUGGCCAAAGCCGGCCGGGCCAUGAUGUCGGCCACCCAAGCGCUCACCUUGGGGCAGGCGUCGAACAGCUUCUUCACAGGUGAAGCCAUCAGGUUGGUCAGGGCCGGGAGGUGGUGGAGGUCGGCCAGGGUGAAGCAGUCGCAGCCCAAGUACUUGGACUGGCUCAGCCGGGCCUCGUAGAUGUCGAGGACCUUGGCGAGCUUGGCCUCGUUCUCCUCGACUACGGCGGCGUCCGUGGCCAUGCCGAACAUCGGCUUGAACACGAGCUCCCACUGCAGCUUCGACGCCACGGGGUCAAACUGGUGGGCCUCGACCUCCAUCCACACGCCCACGGUCGCCAUGGGUUUGCCCUCGCACACGAGGGGAGUGCCCUUGUCCUCGUAUACAUGAGCAAUGUAUUGAGUAAUUGCCCUGGAUUCUGCCACCACAAAGAACACAAUCAAGAUGUAAACUAUACUUCGCGUAGUUGUUUCUUGUUCAGUUGACGAAUUGAACACUCAAAGGUUGACUAAACACUUGAUCUUUCAUCAUGGUCGCACGAUCUAUCAACAAUCGAAUCAGCACCCUUUGACUAAAUACUUUCAUCUUUCAUGAUGGUCACACAAUAUAAUACACCACUAACAGAAAGACUUACCGAAUAGCUUCAAAUCUCCAUCCUCAAAGGCCGGGACUUGACCGAAAGGCUGCACAGAGAGAUCCAGAAACGUUAGAUCUGAGAGAGACGAAGGAGGGUUUCUUGAAAGAGCACAUUCAACCCGCCAAGACCGAAAAUCUGCGAGUAUAACGGUCGAACUGGUGGAGGGCAGGAACGGAGACUUACGUUGAGGGCGAGGAAGUGCUCCUUCUUGUGCUCGCCGGCCCGCAUGUCGACGGGGACGAACUCGAACUCGAGGCCCUUCUCGUUGAGGGCAAUAAGGACCCGCAUAGCCGCGGUGGAUAAGACGCUUCCGUGGACCUUCAUCACCAUGGUCGCUGGCUCUGCUUUCUUAUCUUUAUCUCCCUAUCUCGAAGCCUAAAUGUAGAACAGAUGCAGAACAGAUGUGCUUUAUUAUCUUUAUCUCCCUAUCUUGUUUUGGAAUGAUCUAAUUGACUUUUAAAAUUCGAUUUUUCUUUCCCAUUCAACGAGAUAAUUUUGCUUUUUUAUCUUUGUUGUUUAUACUUAGGAGAUGGAGAUGCAAAAAUGGCUCCUCCUUUUCUUUUCUCUCGCGUCCUUCCUUUCUUUUCCCUCUGCACCUUGUCAGAAAAAGGACAAAGUCCUUUGUUGACCUGUUGAAAAAAACGAGAGAGAACUCCCUUUUUUUUAAAUCUAACGUCCGCCCCCUCUUUCGUCCGUUUGCGAGCGGCUUUUAUGGGCGAGGUAUUAAGGCUUUCUAGAAUAUUUUAUUUCCUUUUUCACAUCGGAUUCACAUUUCCUUUCUCAACAUGCAUGAAGAUAUAUUGUCGAAAUAUGUACCCCACAUGCAAUAUUUCUUUUUAUUUUCCACAUCUCUUCUAGCCUUGUUUGAUUUCCUUUAUAUGCACUUCAUAUCUUUCCACAUUAAAUUAUGCAAAAAAAAAAGAAUAUUCUCCAUCGAUUUUUAUUAUAUAUUGCCAAAAAUUCAAGAUUAUAAUAGGAUUUUCUCAAAUUCUAAAUCUUGUCAAGAUGAGCUCGUAAUAUCUCCUUCUCACACUUGCCCUUUUUGAGAAUAUAUGAAUAGAUUACAUGAACAUACAAAAAAUCCUCUAUCAUAUCACUAAAAAUAUCGAAUCGUCAAUUCUUAUAAGUUAAUCUUUGGUCAUCAAAAAAUAAUGGGCUUGGGCCAAUUCCAUUUCAACGCAGGCUUAGUCCAACUUGCUAAAUUUAAGCUCAGAACCAUCAAAUUAAAUCCAUUCGUCACCAACCCAAUGCAAAUGUAAUAAAAAAAAAAAGUUCUCUUAAAACUACAUGUUAUGUAAUUUAAUUAUAAUUUUUUUUUGUUUAUGGGUUAAAAAUUAAUCUCUAAUUUUUAAAAGGGAAAACCUCAAAUAAGGAUUGAAAAUGGCUUCGUUUUCUCAAAAAAGAACCUAAAGUGAAGUUUGUCUCAAAUAAGGACCUAAAGUAGUCAUUUAGUCUCAAAAAAUGACCUAACUCGCCGGCCAAUGAACUAAUGCAUUUCUGAUGCGUAUUCCGGUGACCUAAUCAAGGUAUUUUCAUCCAAAAAAUAUUCUCUUUUCAUUUUCCUUUUCCCCUGUUCAUCUUCUCCAUCUGCGAGCAGACCUCCAAUAUCUCGCCAGUGAAGUAAUUGCCGACGAGAUCAAGCCACUUCAGCUUCUUGAGCCUUGCCACCUCCAGCGACAGCGGCCCCGUGAACUUGUCAUUGCCCAAGUGGAGUUCUUCAAGCUAGGUUAUCGCCUGUAAGACUUUGCUGGGGAAGAUCCCAAAGAGGUUGAGGAAUUGGAGGGAGGUGGGGCUGCCGAGCUUUGGCGGGAGGGUCCUGGUGAGGUUGUCGGUGGUGAGCGUGAGGUUGACGAGGUCACAAAGAAGGCCAAUUUUCGGGUGGGAUGUAGCUCGGGAGGCCGACGGAUGUGAUGUUGAGAGAGACGACCCACGAGCCAGCGUCGCAUGUGACUUCGGUGAAGGAGCAAUGCGGAAAGGGCGGUGGCAAGAAGGAGGAGGAGGAGUUGACCCAGUCGCUGAUGGCGGCGGAGGGAGGCUCGACCAUGGCGGUUUUGGGCUUCAAGAGCAUGUCCAGGUCGCUCUGUGCGAGGGAAGCAGAGAUGAAGAGGAGGAAGAAGAAGACUCCAUUGUAGGGCAGUUUCAUCCUCAGUGAGUUCGACGAGGCCAGCAAGGGCUCGCCGACCUCGCCGACCACUGGUAAGGGUAGGCGAGGGCUUGGCCCUCGCCUGCUGCCAACGCCUGCUACCGGCGAUAGGCGUUGAGCCCUCGCUGGCCUCAGGUGAGGCCAACCCACACCGGUCCCACGACCUUCGCUGGCCCUUCCCUACUUCCGAUGUCCUUGAUUUGGGCAAUGCCUAUCUUCGACGAAGAAGACGAUGAAUAGGGACAACCAUGGGUAGAUCAAGAAGAAGAUGAACAGGAUAAGGAAAACAAAAAGAUAAUAUUUUUUGGACAAAAAUACUCCAGACCAGGUCGUUGGAAUACGCAUUGAAAAUGCAUCAAUUCGCCGGCCGACAAGUCAGGUCCUUUUUUGAGACUAACUUAUGUGGCCAAGAGACCAUUAAAACUAUUUUUAUUACUCUUUUAUUUAUAGAAAAAAAUCUCCUUGUUAGUUUUUGUUGGAAAUAUGAUUUGUUUUUUUUAUUCUAAGUAUCUAAAUGCGGUUAAUUGAUUCUAUGAAUCCAUGAGAUUGGAUAUUAGGACAGUAGUAUAGGAAACAACAUAUUUUGUAUAUUCUUUCCUAUCGUACUCUUUUCUUGUAUUAUUAAUAGGUGUGUAAUACAUGUACAAACACAGCAAUACACAAUACAUAAAAUUCCUCCAAUUCAUUCUCAGUUUUUGUCAAUUUUCUUUCUCAUUUUCUAUCAGUUUCAUCUUCUACUUCAUGUGGGACUAAGGUUCCAAGAGACCCACAAGGCACUUCAAGCCUCCAAGAGUCCCACAUUGACUAAACAUUUAAAGAGCAGAGAUUGUCUAUAAAAUCUAAGCUAUGCAUAACUUUUAGCCAAAUUAUUCACGGCUUUCAUGGUUAAAGUUAAGUGUGAAACACACGAAGUGUGAAUCACAUUUGAAUAUUUUGCACGUGGAAACAUGUGUGAUUAGUUUUGUUGAAUUGCUCGAGAACCGAAUUGGAUUGAUCGGUCUGGAGCGCGGUCACUCUUUAGUGCAAAAAAGUAGAGCCGAUUUUGUUGGACCGGACCGGACCGGACCGGAACCAAUGGUCGGUCCGGUUCCCGGUCCUAGGACCAAACGGUCCGGUCCACGGUUUGCAAUUUUGGGAAUCGGUGCUCCCGGUCCGAUUCCCGGUUCCAAGGUGGAACCGGACCGAACCGGGAACCGAUCACCCCUAGCUGGCCCUUCCCUACUUCCGAUGUCCUUGAUUUGGGCAAUGCCUAUCUUCGACGAAGAAGACGAUGAAUAGGGACAACCAUGGGUAGAUCAAGAAGAAGAUGAACAGGAUAAGGAAAACAAAAAGAUAAUAUUUUUUGGACAAAAAUACCCCAGACCAGGUCGUUGGAAUACGCAUUGAAAAUGCAUCAAUUCGUCGGCCGACAAGUCAGAUCCUUUUUUGAGACUAAAUGACUGCUUUGGGGCCUUAUUUGAGAUAGAUUCCAUUUAAGGUCUUCUUUUGAGAAAAUGGGACCACUUUAGGUCUCUAUUUGAGAUUUUCCCUUUUUAAAAUGAUAAACAACUAAUCGUGGUUCUUUACCCAAAAAAAAAAAAAAAACAACUAAUCGUGGUUGUCAAAAUUUAUAUGUCAACACACCUCUUAGAAAUAAAAGAGCUUAAAUAAAAAUACUUAAUAUUAAUAGCAUGUUGAUACAUUUAUACAAAACUUCUACCCCGGGCACACGUAAUAAAGUCGUAGAUAGUCAAGUGAAAUCUAAUAUGCGAAAUAAUUUGAUUUAAGGACAGCAUCAUUGUAUUAAAGGUCGUAAUGCCAAAUGAAUCAUUACCGCGAGGCAUAGAGCAGGAUUUUCAAAUACUCCAAUGAGUUGUGGUCACCGUGGGUAAUUUUGAAUUUGAUUACAAUGCACUACUUAUAAGUAAAACGAGAAAAGUGGUGCACUGAAAACUGCAUAAUUUUCUUUAUUUUUUUUAACAAGUUCAUAAGAGCACUUUUAAAGAAAGUCCAAUUUGGAUAGGAGAAUUUUCAUUUGGCCCCACCAUUUUAGUCAUUUGCUUGCAGCCAUGCAAAGAAGUGACCAGAUUUGGCCCAUAAAUUAUAAGCAAGUUAAUAAAGACUUAAGCGGAAAGGACAGAGUAACUUCAACCUCAGAUAUUUCCCAGCCCGAGAGUUUCUUAGUAGAUGCACUGUUCCAUGUCGUGAGAUCAGCCUUCAGGACGAGGGACGAGUAGUGUGCAGAAAUCAAUAAUUGAUUGUGCAAUUGGCACGCGCCUACCCUGUAAGAGCAGCCGUGGCCAGGAUCCGGAAGAAACUUGUCGUGGCCAUGAUGGUGUGCUUGACGGAGCUCGAGUGGCCAGCUCAAAGCAGGGAUAGUGGGUGGGUGGAGUCCGUUUUCUUCUCAUUUUUAUUUAUCAUCCUUUUUUUUUUUUAGGGAAAAAGCCACCAAAAACCCUCCCAACUUUGCCUCGAGUGACAGAUUUACCCCGAACUUUGUUUUGUGACGUGAAAAACCCCGAAAUUUACUAACUGUGACACAUUUACCCCAAACUUUUAUUUGUGUGACAUAUUUACCCUAAAUCAUAAGGGAAUUUUGGUAUUUUUACUUUUAAAAACUUUUUUCUUUUUUUUUUUCUUUUUUUUCUUCUUCUUCUUCCUUCCUUCCGCCGGCCAUGGCGGAGCCGGCGUAGGAAGCCGAUUUUUGCGAGGGCCUCCCUACUAAAAUCAGGGGAGGUGCCCCUGGCGAGGGCACCCUCGCCCGACGCCGGCGUCGAGCGAGGGAGGCCCUCGUCCAAUCCAGUCGAGGGCUGCCCUCGCCGGACGCCAACUUCCCUCUGCCAGCCAGCCGGCGGAGGAAAGAGAGAAGAAGAAAAAAAGAAAAAAAAAAAGAAAAAGAAAAAGAAAAAAUAGAAAUAAUAAGACGAAAAUACCCUUAAUGGGGUAAAUGUAUCACAGUUAGCAAACUUCGGGAUUUUUCACGUCACAAAACAAGUUUGGGCUUUUUGGUGGUUUUUUCCCUUUUUUUUAUUCUCUAAAUUUUUAUUAUACAAUUUUUAAUUCUUUUCCAGAUGUGACGCUAGGCAGAGUCAACUUUUGCUUGGAUAGAAGUUUUGUAUAAAUGCAUAGCCAUGCUAUUAAGCCAUGCUAUUAAUAUUAAGUAUUUUGAUUUAAGUUUUUUUUCUUUCUAAGAGGUGGAAUAGAAUUUUAGUUGUCAAAUCAAAUGACUUAAUAAAGAAGUUCAUCAUAUAAAUUUAAUUAGGAUUCAAUUGUACUAUUUAAAAGUAAGUUUUAGGUGAAUUGCAUUUGCUUGAUGAAUUUUAGAAUUUCUGAGGUAGGUAUCCCUUUGUGUAAAGGCAAUGCUCAUCUAUGAAUAUAGUCCAGUGAAAGUCUAUGGUACUUUAACAGAUGAAAGCGGGUGAAGCUUUCAUGACUGGUAGGGAAACUGGAGGCCAUCCCAUCCUAUGGAGGUGAUGAGAGGAGAGGUUUUUAUCAGUAGAGAUAAUACCUGCACCCGCAGAAAUCAUUACACUCUAAUGAAACUAAAACGUCAAAACAUUUAAGCCAAUGACUCAUGAAACAUGACUCUGCAUCUGUCCAAUCUUUUUAUUGCUCAUAAUAGAAAAUCACAGAACUAAAAGUACAGUUCUGUGAAACACCAGACUGGUCAGCAUCUCCAACUUUGAUGAUUGAAGACGACCCUUCAGAGAAAAUCCCACAUAAAACAUCGACCAAAGGACAGAAACAACAACAAAAUACGAUUACCAACUCAUAUAGAAAGGGGUAGAAAAGGUCUAAUGUUAUGGUCCCCCAGCACCAGAUAAUUUUAAACUAGAGCCUGGGCUUCACUGCUGGUUCCUCAUGGCAAGAACCUUGGCCAAAGCCGGCCGGGUCAUGAUGUCGGCCACCCAAGCGCUCACCUUGGGGCGGGCGUCGAACAGCUUCUUCACAUGGGUCCCCAUCAGGUUGGUCAGGACUGGGAGGUGGUGGAGGUCGGCCAGGGUGAAGCAGUCGCAGCCCAAGUACUUGGACUGGCUCAACCGGGCCUCGUAGAUGUCGAGGACCUUGGCGAGCUUGGCCUCGUUCUCCUCGACUACUGCGGCGUCCGUGGCCAUGCCGAAC